rnacentral:rRNA from 1 species
AUUGAACGCUGGCGGCAGGCUUAACACAUGCAAGUCGAGCGAGCGGCGGACGGGUGAGUAAUGUCUGGGAAACUGCCUGACGGAGGGGGAUACCUACUGGAAACGGUAGCUAAUACCGCAUACCUUCAGAUGUGCCCAUAUGGGAUUAGCUAGUAGGUGGGGUAAUGGCUCACCUAGGCGACGAUCCCUAGCUGGUCUGAGAGGACGACCAGCCACAUGGGUACAGAGACACGGUCCAGACUCCUACGGGAGGCAGCAGUGGGGAGUAUUGCUCAAUGGUCGCGAUCCUGAUGCAACGCUUCCGCGUGUGUGAAGAAGGCCUUCGGGUUGUAAGACACUUUCAGCAAGGAUGCGUUACUCACAGAAGAAGCACCGGCUAACUCCGUGGCAGCAGCCGCGGUAAUUC